rnacentral:rRNA from 1 species
CUAUACAUGCAAGUCGAACGCUUCUUUUUCCACCGGAGCUUGCUCCACCGGAAAAAGAGGAGUGGCGAACGGGUGAGUAACACGUGGGUAACCUGCCCAUCAGAAGGGGAUAACACUUGGAAACAGGUGCUAAUACCGUAUAACAAUCAAAACCGCAUGGUUUUGAUUUGAAAGGCGCUUUCGGGUGUCGCUGAUGGAUGGACCCGCGGUGCAUUAGCUAGUUGGUGAGGUAACGGCUCACCAAGGCCACGAUGCAUAGCCGACCUGAGAGGGUGAUCGGCCACAUUGGGACUGAGACACGGCCCAAACUCCUACGGGAGGCAGCAGUAGGGAAUCUUCGGCAAUGGACGAAAGUCUGACCGAGCAACGCCGCGUGAGUGAAGAAGGUUUUCGGAUCGUAAAACUCUGUUGUUAGAGAAGAACAAGGAUGAGAGUAACUGUUCAUCCCUUGACGGUAUCUAACCAGAAAGCCACGGCUAACUACGUGCCAGCAGCCGCGGUAAUACGUAGGUGGCAAGCGUUGUCCGGAUUUAUUGGGCGUAAAGCGAGCGCAGGCGGUUUCUUAAGUCUGAUGUGAAAGCCCCCGGCUCAACCGGGGAGGGUCAUUGGAAACUGGGAGACUUGAGUGCAGAAGAGGAGAGUGGAAUUCCAUGUGUAGCGGUGAAAUGCGUAGAUAUAUGGAGGAACACCAGUGGCGAAGGCGGCUCUCUGGUCUGUAACUGACGCUGAGGCUCGAAAGCGUGGGGAGCAAACAGGAUUAGAUACCCUGGUAGUCCACGCCGUAAACGAUGAGUGCUAAGUGUUGGAGGGUUUCCGCCCUUCAGUGCUGCAGCUAACGCAUUAAGCACUCCGCCUGGGGAGUACGACCGCAGNGAAACUCAAGGANUGACGGGGCCCGCACAAGCGGUGGAGCAUGUGGUUUAUUCGAGCACGC